rnacentral:rRNA from 1 species
CAAUAGCGUAUAUUUAAGUUGUUGCAGUUAAAAAGCUCGUAGUUGGAUUUCGGGGGGGACGCAGCGGUCUCGCAUUGCGUUUGUACUGCUGCAGCCCUCCUUCUUGCCGGGGGCGGCCUCUCGGACUUCACUGUCUGGGGGUCAGAAUCGGCGAUGUUACUUUGAGUAAAUUAGAGUGUUCAAAGCAAGCUUACGCUCUGAAUAUAAUAGCAUGGGAUAACACGACAGGACUCUGGCCUAUCGUGUUGGUCUAUAGGACCAGAGUAAUGAUUAAGAGGGACAGUCGGGGGCAUUCGUAUUCCGUUGUCAGAGGUGAAAUUCUUGGAUUUACGGAAGACGAACAUCUGCGAAAGCAUUUGCCAAGGAUGUUUUCAUUGA